AUAUUAUUAAGGGGGAGGAAAAGAAACUAACAAGGAUUCCCCUAGUAACGGCGAGUGAAGCGGGAAGAGCUCAAACUUAAAAUCCACGGGUGUAACAACUCGCGGAGAUGUAGUCUGGAGACGUACCCUCAGUGCGAGGCCGGCUAUAAGUCCCUUGGAAUGGGGCAUCAUAGAGGGUGAGAAUCCCGUCUUUGAGCUGGAUCUCUGUGCGUACGAGGUGCGUUCCAAGAGUCGCGUUGCUUGGGAGUGCAGCGCAAAAUGGGUGGUAAAUGCCAUCUAAAGCUAAAUAUUGGCGAGAGACCGAUAGCGCACAAGUA
rnacentral:rRNA from 1 species